AAUCAGAGCUACAGCUGUUGGCCUACACCACAGCCACAAGGGAUCCGAGCCACAUCUGCGAACUACACCUCACGGCCACAACAGAUCCUUAACCCAUUGAGUGAGGCCAGGGAUCAAGCCCACAUUCUCUUGGAUAAUAGUCAGCUUGUUAUUUCUGAGACACAACGAGAACUUUCCAUAUGUGCCAAAGAUUUUAUUGAACUCAUUAAAUAAUUAAGAAACCAGGAAGAUGUCAGUGGCAGUUCACAGAAGAAUUUCAAAGAGCAGACACAUACAUGGAUGAUGAGAUUCUCACAUCCUCCUUUUUGCUGCAUGGAACAAGGUUUGAUGCUUUAUGGUGUGGCAACCAUAUGGACAUUAUGAGAGAACAGAACUCUGCACAUCUAAACAAUUUCAGAGAAGUGAAAAGAGAGAAGGUACCUUAUGCAUUCUCAGCCCUUUUAUCAACUAUGAACAUCAAUCUCUGCUCUGUAUACAUAACACCAAAUAGACAUGCUUUUCUGUAAAUUUGCAUAAGUUACUUUGUGGUAUAAAUGAACAUAAAAUAUUAACUAUCAAAAGAGACA